CCUACGGGGGGCAGCAGUGGGGAAUAUUGGACAAUGGGCGAAAGCCUGAUCCAGCCAUGCCGCGUGUGUGAAGAAGGCCUUCGGGUUGUAAAGCACUUUCAGUGGGGAAGAAAGCCUUGGGGCUAAUACCCUCGAGGAAGGACAUCACCCACAGAAGAAGCACCGGCUAACUCCGUGCCAGCAGCCGCGGUAAUACGGAGGGUGCGAGCGUUAAUCGGAAUUACUGGGCGUAAAGCGUGCGUAGGCGGUCUGAUAAGCCGGUUGUGAAAGCCCCGGGCUCAACCUGGGAACGGCAUCCGGAACUGUCAGGCUAGAGUGCAGGAGAGGAAGGUAGAAUUCCCGGUGUAGCGGUGAAAUGCGUAGAGAUCGGGAGGAAUACCAGUGGCGAAGGCGGCCUUCUGGACUGACACUGACGCUGAGGUGCGAAAGCGUGGGUAGCAAACAGGAUUAGAUACCCGGGUAGUC
rnacentral:rRNA from 1 species